UCAAAACCUACAAAAGAACACACGUUUAGUAUAUUGCAUUUGAAACGUGUUUCCAACAAACCGAGCUACACCAUAACAAGCUCCACCGCACCGAAGCCCUGACCUCAGCUCUGAUACCACUUGUUGGGAAAAUAACCCCUAAACAUGAAAUUAACCCCUUUGUACUUUAUUACCCAAGGAUCGGUUUCCCUUUGAAAUGUCAAAAUAACAGGAUAAUUUGAACAGAAAAAUAGGACACACGAUUUAACGUCGAAAAACUCCCCCAAACCGGAAGAAAAAACCACGGGCCCCAGAAAAGAAUUCCACUAUAAGAAAAAUUGUUACAAUCAUAUAGACCCUCUUUUCUACAAGAUAUCCCCAAUACACCACCCGACACUCUUACAAGUAUUUCCCUCUUUCACCUUUUUACAGCACCCUCUUUGACUAACCACAAAGAAAAUAUAAAGGAAUUUACAACACAAGAGAAAAAAAUACUAAAGCACUCGGGAGGAAUUUCCCACACACCCAGGGACUACAUCUC
rnacentral:lncRNA from 1 species